GAAGUUUUCAGAGAUGAGAAUGUGCCUUCGGGAACCGUGAGACAGGUGCUGCAUGGCUGUCGUCAGCUCGUGUUGUGAAAUGUUGGGUUAAGUCCCGCAACGAGCGCAACCCUUAUCCUUUGUUGCCAGCGGUCCGGCCGGGAACUCAAAGGAGACUGCCAGUGAUAAACUGGAGGAAGGUGGGGAUGACGUCAAGUCAUCAUGGCCCUUACGACCAGGGCUACACACGUGCUACAAUGGCGCAUACAAAGAGAAGCGACCUCGCGAGAGCAAGCGGACCUCAUAAAGUGCGUCGUAGUCCGGAUUGGAGUCUGCAACUCGACUCCAUGAAGUCGGAAUCGCUAGUAAUCGUGGAUCAGAAUGCCACGGUGAAUACGUUCCCGGGCCUUGUACACACCGCCCGUCACACCAUGGGAGUGGGUUGCAAAAGAAGUAGGUAGCUUAACCUUCGGGAGGGCGCUU
rnacentral:rRNA from 1 species